rnacentral:rRNA from 1 species
GAUGAACGCUGGCGGCGUGCCUAAUACAUGCAAGUCGAGCGAACAGACGAGGAGCUUGCUCCUCUGACGUUAGCGGCGGACGGGUGAGUAACACGUGGAUAACCUACCUAUAAGACUGGGAUAACUUCGGGAAACCGGAGCUAAUACCGGAUAAUAUAUUGAACCGUAUGGUUCAAUAGUGAAAGACGGUUUUGCUGUCACUUAUAGAUGGAUCCGCGCCGCAUUAGCUAGUUGGUAGGGUAGCGGCUUACCAAGGCAACGAUGCGUAGCCGACCUGAGAGGGGGACCGGCGAGAGGGGGACUGAGAUACGGCGCAGACUGCUAAGGGAGGCAGCAGGGGGGAAUAUUGCACAAUGGGCGGAAGAAUGAUGCAGAAACGAAGCGAGCUGGAUAACGGCCGUCGGGUUGUAAACAGCUCUCGCCUGUGACGAAGAGUGAGGGACGGUAAUGGGUAAAGAAGCACCGGCUAACUACGUG